AUGAACGCUGGCGGCGUGCCUAAUACCUGCCAGUCGAGCGAACAGACGAGGAGCUUGCUCCUCUGACGUUAGCGGCGGACGGGUGAGUAACACGUGGAUAACCUACCUAUAAGACUGGGAUAACUUCGGGAAACCGGAGCUAAUACCGGAUAAUAUAUUGAACCGCAUGGUUCAAUAGUUAAAGACGGUUUUGCUGUCACUUAUAGAUGGAUCCGCGCCGCAUUAGCUAGUUGGUAAGGUAACGGCUUACCAAGGCAACGAUGCGUAGCCGACCUGAGAGGGUGAUCGGCCACACUGGAACUGAGACACGGUCCAGACUCCUACGGGAGGCAGCAGUAGGGAAUCUUCCGCAAUGGGCGAAAGCCUGACGGAGCAACGCCGCGUGAGUGAUGAAGGUCUUCGGAUCGUAAAACUCUGUUAUUAGGGAAGAACAAAUGUGUAAGUAACUAUGCACGUCUUGACGGUACCUAAUCAGAAAGCCACGGCUAACUACGUG
rnacentral:rRNA from 1 species